rnacentral:lncRNA from 1 species
AGGGCACUUGAAAGACGUCUCAUACUCAAGUGGUCUCUCCUCUUCCCAUACACACCUUACGGAUUCUUCACAGGGUGUGAUGAUGGGAAGCCUAGACACGCUUAUCAGAAGUUUGUCCUCUUAUCGGGAUACGUCAGAAAUUAGAGAGACCCUGGCAAUCACAGCUUCCACCUCCUCAUUUUACAAAUGAGCAACUAGGCUCAGAGUACAGAAGUGGCUUUCCCAGGGUCACACAGCCAGCUUGUGACAGAGUCAGGAUUCAAGUACCAUCUCCUGACUUCUCCAUUGCACCAGACGUCGAUAGAACACAGAGAACCUAAAAGAAGAAAGAAAAAAAAAUAGAGCUUUUGGGAAUAUAUUGGGCUUCUGGUUUUCAAGGACAAUUUUAUGAUAAGUAGCAAUGAUGCCUCAAAAGCUCUGGUAGCUAGCUUGAAUGAACUUAUGUAAUAAACAUUUAUCACAGAACAUGUGUCAUCAAACACCUGCCAGUUCUGAGCGUUGGCACCAAAGCUGCUUUCAUUGUCAAAGAAAAGAGGGGGAAAGGAACUUGGCUGAACAAAGCUGGCAGACGUUUAUACUAGAAAAUUUAGAGGUAAUUUCUAGAGGAACAGAAACACAUUUUCAAAGUCUUAUAAAAUUUAUUUAAAUGUGAUUGGGUGAAUUUAGCAGUUAAAGAAGUGAAGAACACUGAGGUCCAAUUGGUGCCUGAGGCUUCUUCCAGGACCCAGUCUUUUCUGUCUGCCUUGGGCACAGAUUUCUAGAUGCCUGAAGAUGGACAGGCCCAGAGGUUGCCCAGAGUGAUGUCUGAGAUUACUGAUCUCUAUCUAGGCUUCCAUAGAAACACAUCCCAAAACGUUCUUGGUUCUUAUUGGAAUCUCAUCUCAUUUGCAGAACAUGGCCAGAGUCAAAGAGACAUGGACCAUGUGUCACUCAGACUGAGUCCAUCCAUACAAAGAGAAUUCUCUAGCCUGUAUUGGAAGUCAAUCUACAUCAGCAUGACAGGGCAUGUAGCCGAAUACGUGGCCACUUCCCUUUGGCUACCCACACAUUUUUGAACUGCAAGAUCUGUUCUUUAUCUACUCAUCUAAUGGUUAUUACUGGGAGAGCACUGGACUAUAAAUUCUGUUGCACUUGCAGGUGUAAUGAGCUCUUUGAACCUCAGUUUCCUCACCCAUCAGAUACUAUUCAUUAUCUGCCUUGCGGACAACACCUAGUUGUUGGGAACAUUGCAUGAAUGGCAGGUGGAGGUGCUUUGUAAACGCUAAAGCCUGCCAUGAAUGUGAAGGAGUGUUGCUACUCUUCUGUGCCCAACAAUGUGCUAGCACCAAGGGAGUUCAAAAGAAAUGUGAGACAUGGUCCCUACCCUCCAGGAACUUACAACUCAUUGUUGGGAGACCAAGACACAUCCCCUAAAAACAGAUAUGUAACACCUCAAGUCUGUGAAGUACUUACUAUUUAAAUGAUGCCCAGAGCCUCUGAAUCCCCUAGAAGUACAGAGGAGGGGGAGAUCAUUAAUGGUGUGGAGAAGUUGGAGGAGGUGAGACGAUGCCAGGUGAUAAAGUAGACAGAGAAGAUGAAGGUCUUUUUUUUGAGACAGGGUCUCACCCUGUUGCCCAGGCUGGAGUGCAGUGGCAUGAUCGGCCCACUGCAACCUCCACCUCCUAGGUUCAAGCAAUUCUCGUGCCUCGACUUCCUGACAUAGCUGGGACUACAGGCGCACACCGCCACACCCGGCUAAUUUUUGUAUUUUUAGUAGAGACAGGGUUUCACCAUGUGGGCCAUGCUGGUCUCGAACUCCUGACCUCAAGCAAUCCACCCACCUCAGCCUCCCAAAGUUCCGGGAUUACAGAUGUGAGCCACUGUGCCCUGGCCUGAAGAAGGUCUUUAUGGGUACGGCAUGACUGCUGGAGAGUUUUGUCACCGCUGCUUAAGGAAGAGCUUCCCAAUGUUGGAUAUAUGUCAGGAGCAAGGGAGCACCAGUGGUAGAAGAACCUGCCUCCCCUGGCUCCAUCAAAGGCCACAGGCCCAUGAGAAUCACCCGGCCUGCUCUGAGCAGCACACUCGGAGGCCACAGCCACGCACAGGAAAGUGAGAGGAAGUGGAAACGUGCGAGCAGAGGGCUCAAAGCGACGGGCUCACCACCGGAAAAAAAAAAUAAAAAUAAACACGCUCAGAAAUAGUGUAACUGAUAUGCAAAGAAGAUCAAAACAAGGGUUUUAAAAUAUCUUGGCUGCUUUAGAGGAGAUGGGGGUGGUAAUUAAAGCGAGGUUGCAAAUGCGUGUUAGGGGAGUGGGGCGGUUAGGUGGAUGGUUCACUGAAGCCUGCCAGGACAUGGGAGCCUGGGAGCCCAAGGGUAUUUCAGAUGAAAAUGUGGCACUUAUAUGUGGAAUGUAAAAGAAAGUUGAACUCAUAGAAGCAGAGAAUAAAAUGGUUAUUCUCAGAGGCUGCCAGGUGGUGGGACUGGGGAGAUGUUGGUCAAAGGACACAUUUUAAUAAAUUCAAGAGAUUCAUUGCCCAUCACGGUGACUAUAGUUAACAUCAAUACAUUUUAUAUUG